rnacentral:rRNA from 1 species
CUGCGCCACAAGUGGCAGUCAGCAUUAUUGGGCCUAAAGCGUUCGUAGCCGGACUGGUAAGUUCUCUGUGAAAUCAUCCUGCCUAACAGGAUGGCAUGCGGAGAAUACUGUCAGUCUAGGAACCGGGAAGAGUAAGAGGUAUUCUGGGGGGAGCGGUAAAAUGCUAUAAUCCUCAGAGGACCACCUAUGGCGAAGGCAUCUUACUGGAACGGAUUCGACGGUGAGGAACGAAAGCUAGGGGAGCGAUCCGGCUUAGAUACCCGCGUAGUCC